UUGCAGGAAGAUCUGCUCCUCGCCCUCGUCCUGCUGCUGCACGCAGCCCAGCUCCUCAAUCUGUAAACCGUGCACCUCCCCCAGCUACAGUCCCUGCGAGCGGUGGUGGUGGUGGCAUGUUCUCUGGCAUUGGUUCAACCAUUGCUCAGGGUAUGGCUUUUGGUA